GCCGCCGCUCUGGGCCUGGCGGGGCGGGCACACAUCAACAAUAUCAACAUCAACAACUGCAACCACCACCGCUCCUCUGCACCCACCGCGCAGUGCCACUUCCUCAAACACCUCCAGCGACGGUGAUUCCAACACGGCCCUCGGCAACCCUUGCCACUGCCCUGUCAGCGUUUCUGGGAAGAAACUCCUCCUGCUGUCCUACCUAAACCCGGCCUCGCACAGUGCCUGCCUUUCCUACUGCCUGCGCCACUUGGCCCUGGAAGUUGCCUGGACCUGCAUUAUCUCACUGAAGGCCUGUCCUUGCUCAGUCCCUGCAGGCACAGAAUUAAUCUGAAAAAGGUGAACCAGUGACCAGUAAUACCAUACAGCUUUGCUACAUAACUGGUUGAGCAGCAUGGUUUUCUUCACCUAGCAUCUCUGCUUCCAAAAAUCAUCCCAGGAAACAUAAAUUAAACCUCUG